UCGAACGGUAACUUUUGGUGCUUGCACCGAAAGACGAGUGGCGAACGGGUGCGUAACGCGUAUGCAAUCUGCCUUUUACUAGGGUAUAGCCCAGAGAAAUUUGGAUUAAUCCCCUAUAAUAUCAUUUAAUCGCAUGAUUUUAUGAUUAAAGCUUCGGCGGUAAAAGAUGAGCAUGCGUCCUAUUAGUUAGCAGGUGAGGUAACGGCUCACCUAGACUCCGAUAGGUAGGGGUCCUGAGAGGGAGAUCCCCCACACUGGUACUGAGACACGGACCAGACUCCUACGGGAGGCAGCAGUGAGGAAUAUUGGACAAUGGACGAAAGUCUGAUCCAGCUAUGCCGCGUGCAGGAUGACGGCCCUAUGGGUUGUAAACUGCUUUUAUACAGGAAGAAAAACUCCGACGUGUCGGAACUUGACGGUACUGUAAGAAUAAGGAUCGGCUAACUCCGUGCCAGCAGCCGCGGUAAUACGGAGGAUCCAAGCGUUAUCCGGAAUCAUUGGGUUUAAAGGGUCCGUAGCGCGGUUUU
rnacentral:rRNA from 1 species